rnacentral:rRNA from 1 species
ACGUACACUCCUGCGGGAGGCAGCAGUGGGGAAUAUUGGACAAUGGGGGCAACCCUGAUCCAGCCAUGCCGCGUGAGUGAUGAAGGCCCUAGGGUUGUAAAGCUCUUUUGUGCGGGAAGAUAAUGACGGUACCGCAAGAAUAAGCCCCGGCUAACUUCGUGCCAGCAGCCGCGGUAAUACGAAGGGGGCUAGCGUUGCUCGGAAUCACUGGGCGUAAAGGGUGCGUAGGCGGGUCUUUAAGUCAGGGGUGAAAUCCUGGAGCUCAACUCCAGAACUGCCUUUGAUACUGAGGAUCUUGAGUCCGGAAGAGGUGAGUGGAACUGCGAGUGUAGAGGUGAAAUUCGUAGAUAUUCGCAAGAACACCAGUGGCGAAGGCGGCUCACUGGUCCGGUACUGACGCUGAGGCACGAAAGCGUGGGGAGCAAACAGGAUUAGAUACCCCAGUAGUCCCAUGA